rnacentral:rRNA from 1 species
UGGGAAUAUUGCACAAUGGGCGCAAGCCUGAUGCAGCCAUGCCGCGUGUGUGAAGAGGCCUCGGGUUGUAAAGCACUUUCAGCGAGGAGGAAGGUGGUGAACUUAAUACGUUCAUCAAUUGACGUUACUCGCAGAAGAAGCACCGGCUAACUCCGUGCCAGCAGCCGCGGUAAUACGGAGGGUGCAAGCGUUAAUCGGAAUUACUGGGCGUAAAGCGCACGCAGGCGGUUUGUUAAGUCAGAUGUGAAAAUCCCCCGGGCUCAACCUGGGAACUGCAUUUGAAAACUGGCAAGCUAGAGUCUCGUAGAGGGGGGUAGAAUUCCAGGUGUAGCGGUGAAAUGCGUAGAGAUCUGGAGGAAUACCGGUGGCGAAGGCGGCCCCCUGGACGAAGACUGACGCUCAGGUGCGAAAGCGUGGGGAGCAAACAGGUUAGAUACCCUGGUAGUCACGCUGUAAACGAUGUCGAUUUUGGAGGUUGUGCCCCUUGAGGCGUGGCUUCCGGAGCUAACGCGUUAAAUCGACCGCCUGGGGAGUACGGCC